GACGAACGCUGGCGGCGUGCUUAACACAUGCAAGUCGAACGAAGAGCGAUGGAAGCUUGCUUCUAUCAAUCUUAGUGGCGAACGGGUGAGUAACGCGUAAUCAACCUGCCCUUCAGAGGGGGACAACAGUUGGCAACGACUGCUAAUACCGCAUACGUUCUGACCUCGGCAUCGAGGAUAGAUUAAAGGUGGCCUCUACAUGUAAGCUAUCACUGAAGGAGGGGAGUGCGUCUGGUUAGCUAGUUGGAGGGGUAACGGCCCACCAAGGCGAUGAUCAGUAGCCGGGCUGGGAGGAUGAACGGCCACAUUGGGACUGAGACACGGCCCAGACUCCUACGGGAGGCAGCAGUGGGGAAUCUUCCGCAAUGGACGACAGUCUGACGGAGCAACGCCGCGGGAGUGAUGACGGCCUUCGGGUUGUAAAGCUCUGUUAAUCGGGACGAAAGGCCUUUUUGCGAAUAGUGAGAAGGAUUGACGGUACCGGAAGAGAAAGCCACGGCUAACUACGUG
rnacentral:rRNA from 1 species